AGUCGUUCCAUUGCCAGUGAGCUUUAGUUUUUGAGAAGUCGUGCACGUUGCUAUAUUUUCUUACAACGAAAUAUCAAGAUGAAUAAGUACGUCUUCGUGUUCGCAGUCUUCUUAUUCCUGACAUUGGCUACGCCUUCAGAUGCAAUUUUCUUCAGAUUAUUGAAACCUCUUAUUAAUUUCUUCGGUGGAAUUGCCAAAGCAAUCGUUAUGUUCGUCUCAGGUUUGAUAAACGUGUUUCUGGGAUAUUCCUACGUUAAGGGCAUAGACGGAGCCAGAACUGUGAACUAUAAUUAAUGUGGUUUCGGAUAUAAACAACGAUUUGAUACAUAUUUAAAAAGUGUAUUAGUAUGUAUAAAAGGAUUGAAGUAGAAAAUCAACACAAAUAAACAUAUUAUAUUAAA